AGUGGCUGCCUUAAUGCUAUCGGACAGGUUCACAACUAAACAAACAAUUCUAACGAAUAAUACUAAUAGUUUUUCGAGCAGAAGAUCAUUCCUCUCUCGGAUCGAAGGUGAGAGUUCAGCUUUUUGUUUUCGCUCUAUACCUCUGAGACUCAGAAAUGGCCAUUCGAUUGAGGAUUGUGACAUGUCUGGCUCUGUUUCUUCUAAUGGAAGAAGUCAAGCCUAUCCUGGCUAGGGGAGAGGACUAUAAGAAGCUGGAAGCCAGGGUGAAGAAACUGGAAAACGCCUUAUGUGGAGCAGAACUCGACUGCAAACUGUGCUCAAUAGUUAAAAACCUUACGGCUUUGGUAGAAAAGAUUGCAGACAAGGUUCCAACUCCUCCAAAAGGUAACUUCA